rnacentral:rRNA from 1 species
CUACGGGCUGCAGCAGUGAGGAAUAUUGCACAAUGGGGGGAACCCUGAUGCAGCAACGCCGCGUGGAGGAUGACGCAUUUCGGUGUGUAAACUCCUUUUAUAUGUCAAGAAAAUGACGGUAGCAUAUGAAUAAGCACCGGCUAACUCCGUGCCAGCAGCCGCGGUAAUACGGAGGGUGCAAGCGUUACUCGGAAUCACUGGGCGUAAAGGACGCGUAGGCGGGUUGGAAAGUCAGGUGUGAAAUCCUACAGCUUAACUGUAGAACUGCACUUGAAACUUCUAAUCUAGAGUAUGGGAGGGGAGAGGGAAUUAGUGGUGGAGGGGUAAAAUCCGUAGAUAUCACUAGGAAUACCUAAAGCGAAGGCGAUCUCCUGGAACAUUACUGACGCUAAGGCGUGAAAGCGUGGGGAGAAAACAGGAUUAGAUACCCCGGUAGUC